AGGGCACCACCAGGUGUGGAGCCUGCGGCUUAAUUUGACUCAACACGGGGAAACUCACCAGGUCCAGACACAAUAAGGAUUGACAGAUUGAUAGCUCUUUCUUGAUCUUGUGGUUGGUGGUGCAUGGCCGUUCUUAGUUGGUGGAGUGAUUUGUCUGGUUAAUUCCGAUAACGAACGAGACCUUAACCUGCUAAAUAGACCAGCCGACUUUGGUUAGCUGCUGUCUUCUUAGAGGGACUAUCAGCGUUUAGCUGAUGGAAGUUUGAGGCA
rnacentral:rRNA from 1 species